rnacentral:misc_RNA from 1 species
AAGUCGUAACAAGGUUUCCGUAGGUGAACCUGCGGAAGGAUCAUUAUUGAAUGAAUGGGGGAACUGUUGCUGGCCCGUCAAAGGGCAUGUGCACGCUCCUCAAUUUUCCUUCUCCACCUGUGCACCCUUUGUAGACUUUGGAAGACCUCUCGAGGCAACUCGGAUGGAGGGUCGCUGAUUCACUUUCAGCUUCCCUUGCGCUUCCAGGUCUAUGCAUUCUUAUACACACUUUAAAUGUCUCAGAAUGUCUUUCAUGGCUUGCCGUAAAAAAGCAAAGCUCUAAACUUAAUACAACUUUCAACAACGGAUCUCUUGGCUCUC